GGGUUUGGUUGCGGCGGCUAUCAUGCAGUCGUACGCUUCUUUUUCCCCGUUGCUUGCUCCACCGGAAGAGGAGGAGUGGUGAACGGGUGAGUAACACGUGGGUAACCUGCCCAUCAUAAGGGGAUAACACUUGAAAACAGGUGCUAUUACCGUAUAACAAUCGAAACCGCAUGGUUUUGAUUUCAAACGCUCUUUCGGGUGUCGCUGAUGGAUGGACCCGCGUUGCAUUAGCUAGUUGGUGAGGUAACGGCUCACCAUGGCCACAAUGCAUAACCGACUGAUAGGGUGAUCGGCCACAUUGGGACUGAAACACGGCCCAAACUCCUACGGGAGGCACCAUGAGGGAAUCUUCGGCAAUGGACUAAAGUCUGACCGAGCAACGCCUCGUGAUUGAAAAAUGCUUUCGGAUCGUAAAACUCUGUUGUUAGAAAAAACUUUGGAUGAGAAUAACUGUUCAUCCCUUGACGGCAUCUAACCAGAAAGCCACGGCUAACUACGUGCCAAGGGCCGCGGUAAUAAUAGGUGGCCUGCGUUGUCCGGAUUUAUUGGGCGUAAAUCGAGUCCAGGCGGUUUCCUAAGUGUUAUGUGAAAGCCCUCGGCUCGAUAGUGGAGGGUUUUGUCAACUGGAAGACUUUAGUGCUCAACAUGUAAUGGAAUCCUUGUGUAAUG
rnacentral:rRNA from 1 species